rnacentral:rRNA from 1 species
GACAGAGGGCGCGAACGUUGUUCGGAAUUACUGGGCGUAAAGCGCGUGUAGGCGGCAGCGCAAGUCGGGCGUGAAAUCCCACGGCUCAACCGUGGAAGUGCACUCGAAACUGCGCAGCUAGAGUCCUGGAGAGGAAGGUGGAAUGCUUGGUGUAGAGGUGAAAUUCGUAGAUAUCAAGCGGAACACCGGUGGCGAAGGCGACCUUCUGGACAGUGACUGACGCUGAGACGCGAAAGCGUGGGGAGCAAACAGG